AGUGAACGCUGGCGGCAGGCCUAACACAUGCAAGUCGAACGGCAGCACAGUAAGAGCUUGCUCUUAUGGGUGGCGAGUGGCGGACGGGUGAGGAAUACAUCGGAAUCUACUCUUUCGUGGGGGAUAACGUAGGGAAACUUCCGCUAAUACCGCAUACGACCUACGGGUGAAAGCGGAGGACCUGCGGGCCUCGCGCGAUUGAAUGAGCCGAUGUCGGAUUUGCUAGUUUGCGGGGUAAAGGACAACCAAGGCGACGGUCCGUAGCUGGUCUGGAAGGAUGAUCAGCCACACUGGAACUGAGACACGGUGCAGACUCCUACGGGAGGCAGCAGUGGGGAAUAUUGGACAAUGGGCGCAAGCCUGAUCCAGCCAUGCCGCGUGGGUGAAGAAGGCCUUCGGGUUGUAAAGCCCUUUUGUUGGGAAAGAAAAGCAGUCGGUUAAUACCCGAUUGUUCUGACGGUACCCAAAGAAUAAGCACCGGCUAACUUCGUGCCAGCCGCCGCGGUAA
rnacentral:rRNA from 1 species